rnacentral:rRNA from 1 species
UACGUAGGGUCCAAGCGUUAUCCGGAAUCACUGGGCGUAAAGCGUGCGUAGGUGGCGUGUUAAGUGUGAUGUUAAAUCGCGGGGCUCAACCCUGUCGGUGCAUCGCAUACUGGCAUGCUAGAGGGAAGCAGAGGCAAGUGGAAUUUGUAGUGUAGCAGUGAAAUGCGUAGAUAUUACAAGGAACACCAAUGGCGAAGGCAGCUUGCUGGGCUUCUUCUGACACUGAGGUACGAAAGCGUGGGGAGCGAACAGG